UACGUAGGGUGGCAAGCGUUUGUCCGGAUUUACUGGGCGUAAAGGAUGCGUAGGCGGACAUUUAAGUUCAGGAAUGUGAAAUACCCGAGCUUCAACUUGGGUGCUGCAUUUGAAACUGGGUGUCUAGAGUGCAGGAGAGGUAAGGUGGAAAUUCCUGGUGUAGGCGGUAGGUGAAUGCGCAGAUAUCAGGAGGAACACCGAUGGCGAAGGCAGAUCUCUGGAACGCAACUGACGCUGAGAACGCGAAAGCGUGGGGAGCAAACAGG
rnacentral:rRNA from 1 species